UCCAAACUCUGUGCAAAUCAUCGCCUAGAUUAUGUAUGUUCUUAACAAUAGGUGCGCGGAGCUUUCAUACAAGUAGAAAUACUGAGGUUAAGUAUCAACUAGAAUAGAAGCUCAAGUAACAGGCAAAAAUUUGGAGCAACCCCAAAAAUACUCUCAAAACAAAGUUUCAAGAAGCGUUCUAAAGGCUCUCAAAAAAUUAAAAAAAAAAAAGUUUCAGCAAUUAUUCU
rnacentral:misc_RNA from 1 species